rnacentral:lncRNA from 1 species
CCUAAUUGAUAGGUCACUGAACGCGUUGGAAGCGACGGUUCGUCGAUUCGUUGAGCGGGUGCGACGUUCCGGCUAAAACAAGUGUUGUAGGUUCGUGUUGACCCGGAGAGCCGAGGCGGCUUCCAUAAAUUGUGGGAUCGGAUUCCUAGCAUCGUAACGAAGAACCGAAGACCCUUAAUUUUCGGAUCGCGAAUCGGAGGUCGUAAGGUGGUUGUGCGUGGAUUGGGUCGAGUCGUGCGGCGUGCACCGUGGGAGGCCGAUUGCAAGUGACGACGAGCAAUCGGAACGCUGUAACAGGUGGGUGGUGA